GUACGGGAGGCAGCAGUGAGGAAUAUUGGUCAAUGGGCGAGAGCCUGAACCAGCCAUGCCGCGUGCAGGAAGACGGUCCUAUGGAUUGUAAACUGCUUUUAUUUGGGAAUAAACUCCUCUACGUGUAGAGGCCUGAAGGUACCAAAUGAAUAAGCACCGGCUAACUCCGUGCCAGCAGCCGCGGUAAUACGGAGGGUGCAAGCGUUAUCCGGAAUCAUUGGGUUUAAAGGGUCCGCAGGCGGAUGUAUAAGUCAGUGGUGAAAGCCUACAGCUCAACUGUAGAACUGCCAUUGAUACUGUACGUCUUGAAUUCGAUCGAAGUGGGCGGAAUAUGACAUGUAGCGGUGAAAUGCUUAGAUAUGUCAUAGAACACCGAUAGCGAAGGCAGCUCACUAGGUCUGGAUUGACGCUCAGGGACGAAAGCGUGGGGAGCAAACAGGAUUAGAUACCCCUGUAGUCCC
rnacentral:rRNA from 1 species